rnacentral:tRNA from 1 species
GGAGCGGUAUCGAAGUGGUCAUAACGGGGCUGACUCGAAAUCAGUUUGCGUGAAAGCGCACGUGGGUUCGAAUCCCACCCGCUCCGCCA